AGAAAAUACGCAGUAGGGUCGUCGACACCACUUUGUAUCCCCCAGUAAAAAGUCGAUAGUAUUCCUAAAGUAGUAUCCAAUUAAAAAUAUAAAAGUUUAUAAUUUGUUUCUAAAUUGAAUGUGGCUUAAUGCAUUAUGGUUAGUUUUGAGGUUAGGAUUUAUUCCAUUUUGUGGUGGAAAGUUUUAAUGAAAUUCGAUCGGCUGAAAAAAGGGUUGAGUAAAUCAAGGAGGGAGAAGCAGGGUGGGGGGCAAAUGGUUAUGUCUGUGCAACAUGGCGGAAGGGCUGGGCGUUUUUUCUGAAAUUUGUUGUACUUUCGUCUGAAUGACAGAUAAAAGCCAUAGAAAUGGCGACUUCACAGAGGUUCUGCCUUCGGUGGAACAACCACCAGUCAAACCUUCUUUCAGUGUUUGACCAAUUGCUACAUGAUGAGGCAUUUGUGGACGUAACGCUCGCGGUGGAGGGACAGUUCCUGCGAGCACACAAGAUGGUUCUCUCAGCAUGCAGCCCAUACUUUCAGUCUUUGUUUGUCGGACACCCCGACAGACACCCUAUUGUGAUAUUAAAGGAUGUGCCGUAUGCUGACAUGCGAUCGUUAUUAGACUUUAUGUACAGAGGAGAAGUUAGUGUAGACCAGGAGAGAUUGACUGCGUUCCUUAAAGUUGCUGAGUCUCUAAGAAUCAAGGGUCUCACAGAGGUUAAUGAAGAGAGAUGUGAUCUUCCUUCAAUAGCGUCUUCCUUAUUAUCAACACCCCCUAGUGCGCCACCACCUCCGAACCUCCAUCGUAUCCACCCGUUAUCACACAAACGAGUUCUGCCUCCUAUGGCCGCCAACCCAUUGUUGGGAUCAGCACUAACAGCACCCAAGAGGAAGAGAGGAAGACCUCGAAAGCUGUCCGGUAGCAGUAAUGGUCCCAACACGCCUGGUGAGGAAGACAACACUGAGCAAGAGAUGAGGCUUCAUCACCCAAACAGAGCAGACUCUCCAGAUUUCCAAUUUGUUCCAGCGAUGGUGGGCCCCCCGGACCUGUUGGAGGUGAACAUGGGUGACAGUGAUCAUAAUCCGCUGCAGAACGACGAGUCUGGGAUGGAGGCUGACGACACGGAUGGCAAGCUGGACAACUCUGAGGCUGAAGAAAUAGAGGAGAAACCGAUUAAACAGGAACCCACCCCCGGUACUUCAUCUCAUGAUUCGUCUUUUAAAGGCAGCAACUCACAAGAUGGGGACACCUUCAAUCCUGAUGAAGAAUUGAAGUCAGCAAAAAAAUGUAACCGAGAAACAAGAGAAGAACCGUUCCCACUUACCUCUGAUGUUGAUGAGUGCUAUGAAGACAUGAUAGCAUGUUCUCCAGCUUCAUCUGAUUUUGAUCAGGAGUCAAAUACAAGCAAAAAUGGGAAAAAUAAGGGAGGAAAGAAGAAAGAAGGUUUGAGUGAAACUGAUGAGUUUUUGGAUGAAGAUAUAUCUCAGUACGAGUUUGAUUCUUUCAAAUCGAUGAUGUCAAUGGGAGGCGGUGUUGGAGUGGUGGCUGGUGCACCUGGCAAGCCCAUGGACAAGGCAUCUGUAAGGCGUUACUGCACGCACGAGGCAGACAAUGCCUAUCGUUGUAACGUCUGCGGCAAGACUUACACUCACAUCAGUAACUUCUGCCGUCACUUCCUCUCCACCCACCAUGGCAUGCGUCCUGAGAUCCCUUGCCCUGUUUGCUUCAAGCUGUUCACUCGCAAAGACAAUAUGAUGACUCACACCAAACAGGUCCACCGCCUGACACUUCACCGUGGCACUUUGCAGCCCAUCUCCGAACCUUCCACUGACACAUUUCCUCCAUCUCCCUUUCCUGAACCUAUCUGAUCACUGUGGGAAUUUCCUGUUCAAAUGUACUUACUACAGAAUCAUGAAACUUUUUUAUAUUGAUGGUUAAUAUUUUGGAGUAAGAUAAUUAAUAUUUUUCCUAUCACGAAUAAUGGAGGGUGUCUGAAAGAAGGGUAUCAAGUCAUUUGGUUUAAAAGGUUAUGACAGUGGCAAAUAUUUCGGAACUAACUUUGAGUGCAGACUCUGAAAUUCGGGACUUCUAAUUGGCUGUUUACACAAAUGUAAUACCUUCAUUAUUAACUAAUUUUAACAAAGUAUAAAAACAUGUAAAAUAUACUUUAAGUAUUUAACAUGAAGAUUAGUAAGAAUCAUAUAAUACCAUUAAUUCUUAUACAGUUAUUUCUUCUACUGUGUACAACUAAGCAGACAGUGCAAGCCGAAACCGAUGUAGCUUUUUAACAAGCUAUAAUACUAAGACUGUGAACGUGUACUAGCUAUGAGUUGUGUUAUUAAAAUGCCAUAAGAUGUCAAGCACUGAACAAAUCCAGACAGAUACUGUCAUUAAAAUAUAAUUACAUUUAAAAUAUCAAUCAUGUUCAGAGCAUGAACCGUAUUUGGGAGUUUUAUGGUACAUUAAAUGAACAUUGCACUCAAAGUAUUAUUUUAAUGGAAAAUUCUCUUCUAAAAGUUUGUUGAUACUAAACAAGUAUUUAGUAGAAAAGACACCCUCCUUUAUUUGUCACUAGAAUUGAGGUCUUGUUAAGAAAUUCCUGUCAAUUAAUUGACAAAAUAAAUUAUAUUUGAGAACUGUACAACAGAAAAAAAUGUAUUAAUUUUCUAAAUAGUCGAUAAUAACAUGGUAGACAUUAAUAGUUAGAAUCAACUUUGUUUUGAAUUUGAACCAAAACAACAACAGGCUUUCAUUGUAAUGUGUUAUGUUCCUUGUAACAAUAUCAGGUUGGUAAAUGAAGUUAAAGUUUAUUAAGCUAUAUAAUAUUUUCAUAUAAAACAAAUUUUUAUUGAUGGGUGUUGCUAUUUUAAUUAAUUGCACCCAGUGGUAAAUAUGUCAAUUUAAACUAGUCUUCUAAGUCAUAAAAGUGCUAAAUUCAUUGUUUAUGGUGUAUUUUUACUGUUGAUAUAGAUGUAAUAUAUAUAUAUAUAUUAUGACAUAAGAAUUCAUAAUAAUCUAAUUAUAUGGAACCAAAUAAAUCAUACUAAUAGGCUGUUAUUUUUACUGUUACCAAAUGUGGUUUUUAAAUUUGUAACAAUCAUUUUACAUUAAAAGUAAUAUCUAAUCUUUAAUAAUGUGCCUUUCUGGAAUAUAUAUAGUAAAGUGUUGACUAGAUGUAUUGUUACGGUCUCUUUAUAUCAUAACCAAUGUUAUAUUAACUCCUUUGUAAAUUUGCAUACCAAAUCUUUGUAUUUGAGUAAUGAAGAAAGGUAAUUUCCGUAUUAAAAAUGUAUUAGUCCAUAAACAUACAAGACAUUAUAAAAUAAUAGAAUGUUCAUUAUUACCUUUUUUAAUUUUAACAAUUUUAGUACUACAGCAUCUGGUAUACUUGCAAACCUCAAAGGGCUGAUCCAAUUUUCACCUCAGAAUGUUUGGAGGAGAAAACUACAAAAUAUUUGUUUUAUGACAUAUAUGUAUUUAGAUUGUCGUGUUUUUGUUCCACACAGAGAAUGAAUGGGUAAUAGAAAUAUAUAAAAUAUUUAGUCUCCAAAAUGUACAAAUUUAAGGGGGAAAAUAACUAUUUAUUUAAAAAAUGUCUUUAAUAGAUUUAGUUUUAUAUAAGCUAUUUACACACAUACAUUUGUUGUUUAAACAGAACCCAUUGGUGCAUUAAUUUUUAAUAUCGUUUUAGCAUCUAGGAAUUCCUAUUUUUUGUAGCCUGGCUGGUUUUACAAACAAAUUACAAUAGCUUGAGUUCCAUAAGAGAUAAAGUUAUGAAAUUCACCAAAUUAAACUUGUGUUUUAAAAACUCAAACAAAAAUCACACACACACACACACACACACACACACACACACACACACACACACACACGUACACGUACAUACAUACAUAUAUACAUACGAAUAAAGGCCCAUGUUAAAUAUGUUAGUACAGUAAGUCACCUUGGAAAAUAGUAUUGCCUUGAGAAACAGUAUUAUUUACAAUAUCGUUAUGAAUAUUUGGCUUUCAUUGCAGUGGAAACAUGACAUUUUAUAGUAUACUGACUACACUUGUCGGUAUUCUCUUCACAAUUAUCAAAAUAACAAACAUCAGCUACCUAUAGUACCUACAGCUACAUGCGUGUAAUGCAGUUGAAGCUUGUUCAGUGCUGCUAUCAGUACAACUACGUAAUUAAAGUUUCAUGGUAGUGGUGUGACGGUACCCGUCAUAGUACGCUUACCGCUUAUAGUCAUUGAAACAACAAACAACCUUAAAGGUGUAGUAAAUUGCUCUUUUGCUCACAUAUAUGUUAUAUGAAACAUUCCACCGAUAUUAAAAUCAAAGCAAAUGUUUUGGAACAAGAGCAUGUUUUUGUUUCAGUACCAUUUAUAAUAACUGCGGCAUGUUACAAAGGGGUAAAACCGUAAUUGUGGUCCUUACACUUUUAAUCUGAUAAAGAAAUCAUGCAAUUCAAUGCUGUAGCACUAAAAGGGUUAUAUUUGAAAAUAUGUUGACUUGACAAUACAUUUGGUGAAUUACUUAAAUUUGCUAAAAUUUUACAUAGCAUUUCUUUUUCUUUUAGUUUGUUAUGCAUGUUUAAAGUUAUAUGAUAAGAAUUGCAGUUACUAGUCAAAAAUCACCAAAACUAAUAUAUAUUUAUAUAGCAAAGUGCCUUUACCAUUUGUUAAAAGAAAAGAAAAGUGAUUUUAUACACACAUGAAUAUAUAUGUUGGUUCUCAACCACACAUUAUACUAAUCUUAGAUCUCCUUCAACAAGUGCCAAAUCGAUAUAGUUAUAUUUAACUUAUUAUUAGCCUUUGUGGGUUUAGACAAUUACUUGCUAUAUUGAAAAAGUGUUUAAGCUUCAUAAUAUUCAUAUAAUUUACUACUGGGUUUUAUACAAAGCAUGGUGUUUAUUGAUGUAAAGGGGGGUUUGUGUUGUACAUUUUAGUGUCCAUGUUGUACUUCUUAAGAAGAUCUUUUUAUUACUUUUUCUAUCUACAUUCCACAGAUUAAAGUACUUUCUGUUGGGUAUAAUAUUUUUGCCAAAGAUGUGUAUUAAUAAUUAAACUUGUAAUAAUAACUAAGUUAAAUUGGCAGUUGUCCUCUUACUUAAUAAGAAAUAUAGUAGAGGUGGCUUUUGAAUGUUUUUGAGUCUAAAAGGCAUAUUUUCUGAUUGUCAUAAAUGUUAUAAAGAAAUCUGUCAUAAUAUUAUCAUUUCUACAAAUUAUUAUAAUUCCAAGCAUUACAUUACAAUAAUAAGUAUAUUGAUGAAAUGGCGUGCUUGUGAUUCCGUGAAACAAUUAUUAUUUUAAACUCAAAUCUAAGGAAGGAGAGUUUAAUUAAUUUUUGUAUUAUGUUUUCAUGAAAAUGUUACUGUAGGAUUGGCCUUAUAUAUAUUUUUUCACAUUUAAAGAUGACUAAGAAUGAUUUUUAAAUUAAUGUUAAAACAGUAUUUUAGUUACUGUUCAAAUUUUUUUCAGGCUAGUCAAAAUAAUAAUUUUAUUUUGUAAUUUUAACAUAUACAACUGAUUAAAUGCCGGAACUAUGGAUAGUAUAUAGAAAAAGGUUGUUACAAGCUAGUCAUUUCAGUCAGUUUAAAAAUGCUAAUAAAUCAUUUGAUUUCACACUUGUAAAUGUAAAUAUGCUAUUCUUCAACAAAUUUUUACUUUAGUUUUUUAAAGGUCAAAUAAAACUUUUAUUCUUACAUAUAGCCAUAAUAUUAACUCAACAAUAUCACAUUUCCACACCCAAAAUGGGUUUCUUAAUAUUUAUUGUUUUUUUGGCAUUUUACUAAUUUAACCAAAUGUAAUGGUUUAGUCUUGAUUAAGAAAUUCUAACAUGUUAGUCCGGUGUUAAUUCAAUAGAUAUGAUGGUGUUUUUAAGUUUAAAUAAAUUAAACUUAAGAAAAUCCUAACAUUUUCAAUAUUCUUUAUUUUGAAUAAACUGGUUCAUUUCCUUCAUUUAUAUUAUGCAUAUUAAAAUGUAAGUGAAACAUAAUAAAAGCCACCUCUAAGUAUAUUCUUAUUUAUGAUUGUUAAUAUUUUAAGUCUUAACUGUUACAGUUAAUGUGCCUUGUUAAAUCUUAACACUACUAGUCAGAAUGCCAUAUAAAGGUACUUAGAAUAUGAUGUUUAUUAACAUAGAAACUAAAAUAUUAAUUAUUUUUUCUUCUAUAUUUUUGUUGACUGUUAACAUAGAUUUUUUUAUUGAUAAUAAUGUUAGUAUAUUAAAUCAUACCUCAGAGAUAACCAUUGAAGUUUCCUGUAAGUAUUUAGUUAUAUGUCGGGAUGUGUACUUGUGUUACCAGAUGUUCUAGUUGUUUAUUUAUGUGUUUUGCACAUAACUACGUUUUUAAUAUUUAGGAAACAUAAAUUUAUUCAGGCAGCUAAUUACAAGAUUGUUGCAUUCAAGUAAUGUUAAACUAUUUUAUAUAAGUUGUAUUUACACCCACCUAAGUUGUGUGCAAAACACAAAAUAGUAGUGAUAUUUGUUUGCCAUAUUUUUAUCUUUGUGUUGUUGGGGUUAGUGUUAAUGGUUUGUGCAAUAUGUAGAAGUGUAUAGUUUAAGUUGAUAGUCAUAUCAAAACCAAAUGAGAUUGUUUGAGAUUGUUUAGAGUUUAUUAAUACCAUAACUGAACUGUUGUACUAUGCAGAGUAUUAUGUGUGUGGUCUGUUCUUACAUCUGCUAUCAGGAGGAAUAAGACAAGUGUUAGGGUGUGCAUCUACUAAUAUUGGUGGUCAUUCAGCUGUUUUUGUUCAAAAAUAAAAUAUAACUGUAAACUUUUGCACAGAGAGAUUAGCAAAGAGUUACGUAGGCCUGAGAUCAUGUGUUAGGUUUCAGAAAUGAGAGAAAUAAUUACUAAUUUAAAAAUAAAAAGAAUAGUAAAUUGAAGUUAAACACACAGAAUAGAAGAAUAGUUAAACACACAAAAAAUGUGAAUUAAUUGUAAAAUUACGAAGGUGAUAUAAUUUAAACAAACUAUAAAACUUGGUUUAUAACCAACUUAUAACUUCUAUGUACAAGUGGUAGAGAUGCCUUGUUAGUUCUACCAUCACUUUAAACAUCCGUCAUCAGAAUGUCUUGUUUCAGGUGAAAUACAGUAAAACAUACAGACUAGUUUCUUCUUUAUUGCUGAGACUGUUCGAUUUCCACGUAGAACUGUUUAUGCCAAGGUAAUAAAAGACACUACACUUGCAGUAAUGCCCACAGGCUUUGCUCUCUGUUGCAUGUAACAAUGUAAAUUGCAAUUAAAGAGUUCCUUAAAUCUUCCUGAUAGCAGAUUCUUAUGGCAGCUUUAAUAGUGAGUGACCACAGGUGCCUUAAUCUACACUUGAACACUAUUUUUACACAUGUUACUGUUGGUGAUACUUAAUAUAUUCUUAUUAUAUA
rnacentral:misc_RNA from 1 species